AUGCAUGCUAAGUGUUGGAGGGUUUCCGCCCUUCAGUGCUGCAGCUAACGCAUUAAGCAUUCCGCCUGGGGAGUACGGCCGCAAGGCUGAAACUCAAAGGAAUUGACGGGGGCCCGCACAAGCGGUGGAGCAUGUGGUUUAAUUCGAAGCUACGCGAAGAACCUUACCAGGUCUUGACAUACUAUGCAAAUCUAAGAGAUUAGACGUUCCCUUCGGGGACAUGGAUACAGGUGGUGCAUGGUUGUCGUCAGCUCGUGUCGUGAGAUGUUGGGUUAAGUCCCGCAACGAGCGCAACCCUUAUUAUCAGUUGCCAGCAUUAAGUUGGGCACUCUGGUGAGACUGCCGGUGACAAACCGGAGGAAGGUGGGGAUGACGUCAAAUCAUCAUGCCCCUUAUGACCUGGGCUACACACGUGCUACAAUGGAUGGUACAACGAGUUGCGAACUCGCGAGAGUAAGCUAAUCUCUUAAAGCCAUUCUCAGUUCGGAUUGUAGGCUGCAACUCGCCUACAUGAAGUCGGAAUCGCUAGUAAUCGCGGAUCAGCAUGCCGCGGUGAAUACGUUCCCGGGCCUUGUACACACCGCCCGUCACACCAUGAGAGUUUGUAACACCCAAAGUCGGUGGGGUAACCUUUUAGGAACCAGCCGCCUAAGGUGGGACAGAUGAUUAGGGUGAAGUCGACAAAGGGGGAACC
rnacentral:rRNA from 1 species